GGUCAAGUGAAGAAGCGCAUACGGUGGAUGCCUUGGCAGUCAGAGGCGAUGAAAGACGUGGUAGCCUGCGAAAAGCUUCGGGGAGUCGGCAAACAGACUUUGAUCCGGAGAUCUCUGAAUGGGGGAACCCACCUAGGAUAACCUAGGUAUCUUGUACUGAAUCCAUAGGUGCAAGAGGCGAACCAGGGGAACUGAAACAUCUAAGUACCCUGAGGAAAAGAAAUCAACCGAGAUUCCCUUAGUAGUGGCGAGCGAACGGGGAUUAGCCCUUAAGCUUCAUUGAUUUUAGCGGAACGCUCUGGAAAGUGCGGCCAUAGUGGGUGAUAGCCCCGUACGCGAAAGGAUCUUUGAAGUGAAAUCGAGUAGGACGGAGCACGAGAAACUUUGUCUGAACAUGGGGGGACCAUCCUCCAAGGCUAAAUACUACUGACUGACCGAUAGUGAACCAGUACCGUGAGGGAAAGGCGAAAAGAACCCCGGAGAGGGGAGUGAAAUAGAACCUGAAACCGUAUGCGUACAAGCAGUGGGAGCCUACUUGUUAGGUGACUGCGUACCUUUUGUAUAAUGGGUCAGCGACUUAUAUUCAGUGGCAAGCUUAACCGUAUAGGGUAGGCGUAGCGAAAGCGAGUCUUAAUAGGGCGUUUAGUCGCUGGGUAUAGACCCGAAACCGGGCGAUCUAUCCAUGAGCAGGUUGAAGGUUAGGUAACACUGACUGGAGGACCGAACCCACUCCCGUUGAAAAGGUAGGGGAUGACUUGUGGAUCGGAGUGAAAGGCUAAUCAAGCUCGGAGAUAGCUGGUUCUCCUCGAAAGCUAUUUAGGUAGCGCCUCAUGUAUCACUCUGGGGGGUAGAGCACUGUUUCGGCUAGGGGGUCAUCCCGACUUACCAAACCGAUGCAAACUCCGAAUACCCAGAAGUGCCGAGCAUGGGAGACACACGGCGGGUGCUAACGUCCGUCGUGAAAAGGGAAACAACCCAGACCGCCAGCUAAGGUCCCAAAGUUGUGGUUAAGUGGUAAACGAUGUGGGAAGGCUUAGACAGCUAGGAGGUUGGCUUAGAAGCAGCCACCCUUUAAAGAAAGCGUAAUAGCUCACUAGUCGAGUCGGCCUGCGCGGAAGAUGUAACGGGGCUCAAACCACACACCGAAGCUGCGGGUGUCACGUAAGUGACGCGGUAGAGGAGCGUUCUGUAAGCCUGUGAAGGUGAGUUGAGAAGCUUGCUGGAGGUAUCAGAAGUGCGAAUGCUGACAUGAGUAACGACAAUGGGUGUGAAAAACACCCACGCCGAAAGACCAAGGGUUCCUGCGCAACGUUAAUCGACGCAGGGUUAGUCGGUUCCUAAGGCGAGGCUGAAAAGCGUAGUCGAUGGGAAACAGGUUAAUAUUCCUGUACUUCUGGUUACUGCGAUGGAGGGACGGAGAAGGCUAGGCCAGCUUGGCGUUGGUUGUCCAAGUUUAAGGUGGUAGGCUGAAAUCUUAGGUAAAUCCGGGGUUUCAAGGCCGAGAGCUGAUGACGAGUCGUCUUUUAGAUGACGAAGUGGUUGAUGCCAUGCUUCCAAGAAAAGCUUCUAAGCUUCAGGUAACCAGGAACCGUACCCCAAACCGACACAGGUGGUCGGGUAGAGAAUACCAAGGCGCUUGAGAGAACUCGGGUGAAGGAACUAGGCAAAAUGGCACCGUAACUUCGGGAGAAGGUGCGCCGGCUAGGGUGAAGGAUUUACUCCGUAAGCUCUGGCUGGUCGAAGAUACCAGGCCGCUGCGACUGUUUAUUAAAAACACAGCACUCUGCAAACACGAAAGUGGACGUAUAGGGUGUGACGCCUGCCCGGUGCCGGAAGGUUAAUUGAUGGGGUUAGCGCAAGCGAAGCUCUUGAUCGAAGCCCCGGUAAACGGCGGCCGUAACUAUAACGGUCCUAAGGUAGCGAAAUUCCUUGUCGGGUAAGUUCCGACCUGCACGAAUGGCGUAACGAUGGCGGCGCUGUCUCCACCCGAGACUCAGUGAAAUUGAAAUCGCUGUGAAGAUGCAGUGUAUCCGCGGCUAGACGGAAAGACCCCGUGAACCUUUACUGUAGCUUUGCACUGGACUUUGAGCCUGCUUGUGUAGGAUAGGUGGGAGGCUUUGAAGCGUGGACGCCAGUUCGCGUGGAGCCAUCCUUGAAAUACCACCCUGGCAUGCUUGAGGUUCUAACUCUGGUCCGUGAUCCGGAUCGAGGACAGUGUAUGGUGGGCAGUUUGACUGGGGCGGUCUCCUCCUAAAGAGUAACGGAGGAGUACGAAGGUGCGCUCAGACCGGUCGGAAAUCGGUCGUAGAGUAUAAAGGCAAAAGCGCGCUUGACUGCGAGACAGACACGUCGAGCAGGUACGAAAGUAGGUCUUAGUGAUCCGGUGGUUCUGUAUGGAAGGGCCAUCGCUCAACGGAUAAAAGGUACUCCGGGGAUAACAGGCUGAUACCGCCCAAGAGUUCAUAUCGACGGCGGUGUUUGGCACCUCGAUGUCGGCUCAUCACAUCCUGGGGCUGAAGCCGGUCCCAAGGGUAUGGCUGUUCGCCAUUUAAAGUGGUACGCGAGCUGGGUUUAGAACGUCGUGAGACAGUUCGGUCCCUAUCUGCCGUGGACGUUUGAGAUUUGAGAGGGGCUGCUCCUAGUACGAGAGGACCGGAGUGGACGAACCUCUGGUGUUCCGGUUGUCACGCCAGUGGCAUUGCCGGGUAGCUAUGUUCGGAAAAGAUAACCGCUGAAAGCAUCUAAGCGGGAAACUUGCCUCAAGAUGAGAUCUCACUGGGAACUUGAUUCCCCUGAAGGGCCGUCGAAGACUACGACGUUGAUAGGCUGGGUGUGUAAGCGUUGUGAGGCGUUGAGCUAACCAGCACUAAUUGCCCGUGAGGCUUGACCAU
rnacentral:rRNA from 1 species